rnacentral:rRNA from 1 species
AAGGGCACCACAAGAACGCGUGGAGCAUGUGGCUUAAUUUGACUCAACGCGGGAAAUCUUACCGGGUCCGGACACACUGAGGAUUGACAGACAAUCACACUAUCUUAUGUAUAUUUAUUUAUGCGUAAGUAGUGUCAAACAAAGAUGCUAGUUCUUUCAUGAUUAUGUGAUAGGUGGUGCAUGGCCGUUCUUAGUUCGUGGAGUGAUCUGUCUGCUUAAUUGCGUUUCACAAUUAAAAUACGAAUAUACGCAUUAAUGAUUGCUUGACCCCAUAAAUUUAUUUUUAUGCGCUGCGUCUCGUAUCUUAUAUGCAUUCGUUAUUUCGAAAGCAACGAACGUGACCGUAUCCUUUUGUUAAAUGUAUAUAUACAUUUUAAAAACUAAAGGGACCGCUGUUUCUUUCUUAAACCAGAGGAAGGUUACGGCAAUAACAGGUCUGUGAUGCCCUUAGAUGUUCCGGGCUGCACACGUGCUACAAUGAUUAUUUCAGUAAGUAUCUCAUUAUAAAUAGAAUGUACUUUACGUACAUCUAAAUCCUACCUCGAAAGUAAGGUGGGUAAUCAAUUAGAAGUAAUGAUUUCCUAAAUAUUUUGUACAAAAAUAUACAGCGUAUUCAUAUCCCAUAAAGGCUCUAAGUCUGCAUGCGUGUGUAUGAUACGUAAAUAUUACUUUUAUGUAUUAUUUUUUCUGUAUGUACAAUUGUUAAUUCAUGGUGGGGACAGACCAUUGUUAAUUAUUGGUCUCGGUCUUAACUAGGAAUGCCUUGUACGGGUCUUUGGUUCAUCAAACCACCCGGAAUACGUCCCUGCCCUUUGUACACACCGCCCGUCGCUCUUACCGAUGAACUUUACUAUGAAUUUGAGGGAAAGACCUUUGAGUCGCAAACUUAAAUGAAUAGUGUGGUUUAAAGGAAAGAGAAGU